AUUGAACGCUAGCGGCAGGCUUAAUACAUGCAAGUCAAGGGGGUAGCAAUACAACCGGCGCACGGGUGAGUAACACGUACAUAACAUACCAUAUACUGGGGUAUAGCUUUGGGAAACUGAAGGUAAUCCCCCAUAACAUUGCGAGAGGGCAUCUGAUUGCAAUUAAAGUUUCGACGGUAUAUGAUUGAUGUGCGUUUGAUUAGCUUGUUGGUAGGGUAACGGCCUACCAAGGCGACGAUCAAUAGCUGGCGUGAGAGCGCGACCAGCCACACUGGAACUGAGACACGGUCCAGACUCCUACGGGAGGCAGCAGUAGGGAAUAUUGGACAAUGGGCGAAAGCCUGAUCCAGCCAUGCCGCGUGAUAGAUGAAGGCCCUCUGGGUUGUAAAUAUCUUUUAUCUGGGAAGAAACAAUCUUAUUCUUAAGAUCUUGACGGUACCAGAGGAAUAAGCACCGGCUAACUCCGUGCCAGCAGCCGCGGUAAA
rnacentral:rRNA from 1 species